CUUUCUAGGGUUCGCCUUGCCCAAUCGGCUCCCCAUCUCUUGUGGCUUGGGCGUGGGCGUGAACCCUAGCCCCCAGUCCACAGCCGCCACACCCCUCCUCCGGUCCUUCCCGCUCCCAAUCUCCUCUCCCACUCCGCCGCCACCCCGCUCCCCACUCGCCUCAGCCACCUCCUAUGCUCCCUCGCGCCACCGACUCCCUCCCUCCUCCCUCCCUCGUCAUCGCAGCCGACCACCUGCCGUCACUUAGGCCCCCAUGGCGGCUGCCGGGUCGGGGUGGAGGCAAUAGGCCAUGGAGAAUCUGGUGGUGUCUGUGGGUGCAGCAGGGGUAGAUGGAGCGUCGGAUGCGGGCGGGCUCCCACCCUUAGGCUCCACGACGGAGGCCAGUUCAGAGGGCGAAAGCAGAAAGCGGUGGCGUGUCCUACGCUUGUGGGCGGAAGCAGCGAGGUUGGUCGAGCGGUGAUUGUGGCCGGGGUCAGUAGCUGAAGGAGGCUCGCUGACUGGAACAGUAGGAGGAGCGCCUCGAGGAGUCGAAGGGAGAGGUCGUGCAGGCCAGACAAAGGAGAGCAAGGACGAUGAAUAUUCAAUCAGACCUAUGUUUUCUUCUCGAUGCACCUCGGCAUGAGGAGUCGUGCUAGGCAUCCUGGGGUGAUUCAAGAUGCUCAGGUGUACCACACUGCAUGCUACACAGGUCAAUUGUGCAGGUUGCUCUAAAAUACACUAAUUUAGACACGACCACUUGUCUGCAGCAAUUUCUUACUCUCAGUGCAAACGUACUUCUUUCUUUCUUUUUAUCAAAUGCACUCCUGCUUCACUUCAACUCCCAACUAUAGUUGCAUAUAUAUAUAUAUAUAUAUAUAUAUAUAUAUAUAUAUAUAUCUGCUACCAGACUAGCUCAUGGUGUGGGAAGCAUCUCAUAUUGUUCACUGAAUCUAUUGAUGAAUCUGAAGCAAUUCAAGAGGUGGAGCAAAAACUAUUUAUGCCUAUAGGUUGUCCGAACUACACCUUUAAUUCUAAUUACCUUGUUUGGUCUCCUUCUGUGUGAUAUCACUUUGUUCUGUAUAGUUGUCACUGGGACCUAUAUAUUACUUCUUUCAUGAAUCAUGGAUGUAUGAAGACAUGAAGUCAGAUAUAAUAUAAAACAAAACCUAUAUAUUACUUCUUGCAUGAAUCAUGGAUGUAUGAAGACAUGAUGUCAGAUAUAAUAUAAAAGAAAAUGCAUAUGAAUACUUUCAAGACCGAUCUUUGUGUUCAUUUACCAGAAGAUACAUUAUAAUAGUACUAAUGGACGCAUUUGUCCACUAAUAUGUUCAUUUAAUUUUGUAACCUAUGUUUUUCAUCUCAUGUACCAUUAGGAACAUUUGGUAGAUAAUUAUUUUAGUCAAGACGCAACAUGUUGUUUUGAUGUAUUUUGCUAUCGAUAUUCUGAAAUUGUUUUGUAUACUUUGUUUUGUUACAAAGCAAACAUGUGGGUUUAUGGUCACCUCAUUUCUAUAUGCAUACUUUAUAUAUGGUUGAUGAUUUUGUGGUAGUCAAUUACUAAGUCUUCUCUUUAUAUUUUUCCACAAUAAGUGAAAUGAAAGGCCACAAACAACGCUUCUCCGGGAAGUGAAUUUUAUGGUGCCUUGCAUUCUGCUCAUUUGGCGCAAUUGUUCAUCACAAAGAGGAGGGGAGAGGUCUACCCUUGGGAAAUGGGUGCCUCUCCAGUCAAGCGAGCGACGACAAAUCCAACUGGAAAGGGCUCUGUGGUGAUCUUCAUGUUAUCAGUAACUAUACAUGAGUUUCCUUGCUAACAGUUGUUAUCUUUCAACGUUGCAAGUUUAGCCCUAUUUGCAAUACAACAUUCAAGCAAAUAAUUUGUGCUUUAUAUUUUGAAAUGCAUGUGCAGCAUGUUUUUUUCUCUUUUAUCCAAGCUACUAUGCAAAAUUGUAUUGUUUUACGGCCAUUUGGUUCAUAGGAGUGAGCUUUGUAGGACUGGGAUAAUACAUGCAUGUGCAGUAUUAUAGAUACACAGUUAGCUGUUGAACAAUUCUUAUUUGUAGUUCUCUGAAAUAUUACUUCCUUACUUUAAAUUUACCUUCUUUCUUAUCCAUGUACAAGCAAAGGGAUUUAUAGCUGGUGAAGAGCAGCAAGGCAAGGCCAUUGCGCCGGCUGUUGAGCUUGAAAAGUUCGUAUGGAAUAUGCAAAAAAAUAUUUUUUCCGUUAUGUUCUGUUGGAAUUUGUCACAUUUCUUUUGUGAAAGAAUGUGCCAUUGUCUAAUAUAUUUGUCAAACAAAAAAUAGUUGCAUAUACUAGACUGGAUGGUUUGAGAAACUACGGGCACUAUCAAGAGUGUGUUAUAGGAAAUUUGUUUAAUUACAUAUAUCAUAUAUGUUCUGCUCUUAAGAGAUUAGUUUAGUUACAUGUAUAUUCUGCUUUGUGGUGUCACCCCUACAUCUAUUCAUGCAUAAUGAAUUUGGUGGUGUCAUUCUUUAUAUUGCAACAUGUUAAACAAUCUUGUGAUUGUAAUAUUUUUUUGGUGUUGCCAUAAAAUUAGAAACAUUUAUUGAAAUUGUUCAGUAAUGCAGUUUUAUGAUAUUGAGUGCCUUAGCCUUUGGUUGGAUAUAGAGUUUGAAAACAAUAUCUAGGUUGGAGCACACUAUGCUACAUCAAAAAGGACCUACAUAGCUAAUCAAGUAUGUUUGCUAAGAGGUGAACUUAGCAAAAUUGAGGAUGUCAGCUUUUACAUUUUGUCAUGCUUGGCUUAGAUAAGAUGUAUCCAUGCUUUUUUGUGUUUGUACCAAAGCUUCCUUGCCUUUAGAGGAUUUUGUGCAAGCUUUGCAUUUUCUUUGCCUGAGGCUACAAAUGCAUAUUUUCAUUUGUUCUGGUAGUUUUAUUACCUUCGGAACAGUCACAUGCAUGAGGCAGUGAGUUUGGACAAGGUGGAGCAGCGUCGACUGUCACACACACUAAUGGAGAUUGGGAUGUCUACCUUCCUAUUGACGAUCUUAUAAUUCAUCUGCUAACUGACAUAUCAGAUUUUAGCCAUAUAAUUUCUGGUGACUGGAAGUCUAAAACUGAAGAUAGGGCAGAUUGUUUUGAUUAUGAUUACUUGGAGAUCUCGUGGCUUGCUGUCCAUGGAUCAGUCAGACCUACGGCAACAUCAACUCAUUGAUUCUAGAGGCCAUGGUUCUCGAGGUGAACUCUGAAUCUCUGAUGCAAUUGCAGUGGAGGCUAGAGCCUGCCAAGUGAUGCAGAAGAUGAAACCAUAUAGUGCAACUGACUUUUCAGAUUAUUUAUUUCCUCCUGUAAAACUUCUUUCUCAUCCAUGUAAUCCCUGCACAUCUCAAAUCCCCGUCCGCCUUAACCUUGAUUUUGGCACAUACGACUUCAGGAUAGUUGUCAUAUUUCUUUUAGAGGAUCUGCACCUCAAGGAAAUUAGAGAAUGCUGAUUUAAAAACAAAGUAUAUGUAAGCUAUUAGGAAGCCUGAGAGAUUCAUAAAAAUGGUAAGCAUUGUAAUGGAUGUUCUGCAAGAUAAACAUUAUUUGACUGUCUCCCCUUAAUUAGUGGGACUGGUGAGUAAUGUAGAAUCUUUAUUUUAGCGGUC